AGGAAAUGAUGCCAGUGAAUGCGUAGUCUCAGCCUCAGCACAGGGGAGCCACCUUGAAGCUCUCAAAUAUCACUGUUGUGAAUACAGAGAGGGAAAACCAACUGUAACGUGCUACCCAAAUCCUCUGUUUCUACGAGUUCCCUUGCUGAGUUCCCAGACCUAAGCCAAUUUUCACAUUUGGAGCUCAUGGACUGAAGAGAUGGCCAAGUCCCCAGGAAGAAGUAGGCAGCAACACCACGGCUAAGAAAAACCGUGAGGAUUCCCCCAGGACUGUCCCAAAGGGACCUAUGGCCAUUUACUUGGGUCACUAUAUGUUGGGGAGGAGGGAACACCCAGACCUUGCAAAGAUUGUUGGACACGAGGACUUAGUUGACAUGAAUACCUCGAGAUCUGAAAUGUCAUCUUGCGUGUGUCCCUUCCCCCUCCCACCUUAGAGCCCUGGCUAAAGUAAUAUGUUUUAUAUGUGUACAAUCAGCCCCUCGGUUGCCACGCAUCUACUUAGUGGUCACUUUCUUGGGCCCUGGCUGCUGAAAUAACACCUUUGAGUUCGUGGUGUGCGGGGUAGGAGCUAUCACAUUAGGGAAGGCUAAGUGGGAGUCAAAGCUGCCCCCACCCCAGGACCAAAAUAGUAAAUCAAAGCACUAUUGCAUCACAGGGUUUAAUGCCUAUUAGAGCUUGAAAGGAUACAAGGUGGUGGUCCCUCCUAUCAUGUCUCCAUUUGCUCAGCCAGUCUGAUGCUUGCAAUGAUCUGAUCGUAGAAUACCACAAGCCUAACCAAGCUACGGCCCUGCUACAGCUGCCAAACAGAGCAGUAUUGUUGCUAAAGCAGAUUAUUAAAACCUCAGGUACAUGUUAUGUGGCCACUGAUUUGGCAAAUGUGCUCUUUUCUAUUCUGAAGAGCAGCAGUUUGUAUUCAUGUGGAACGGACAACAGCAUUAAUUUACUGUCUUGCUUCAGGGCAUUGUGAACUUUUCUACCCUCUGUCAUCAUAUAGUAUGAAGAAACCCAGACAGUCUGGACAUCCUGCGGAACAUUGCAGUGAUCCAUUACAUGGGUGACAUCAUGCUGAUUGGGCAGCACAAACAAGAGGUAGCCAGCAUUCGGGAGGUCUUGUUAGGACAGGGACCUGCCACUUCAGGAAAGUUUUCAGGGGUCCAGUAAUCAGAAGUAUGCCGGAUACUUACUCCAGAUUAAAAGAUACAUUCUUGCUCUUGCAUCUCCUGCCACAAAGAAGGAAACAGUGCCCAGUGGGACACCUGGACCGAAGCUGUAUUCCUAGCAUGGAAUGUAGUGAGCAAAGACAGAUGAGAAAAACUACAGGGGAAGGAGUUGGAGGGAGCUAGCAAUGGGGUCUAACAUUGAUUUAAACCCACUGCCAAAAAGAACAGGUCCAUCGUAAGUCUGAAACUAGUAAAAUAGUGUCUGAGGAGUUCAGAGCACAGACUACAGACAAGAGAAUUAAAAAUACACUGUUUUAAAGGGCUAGUCUCGGAAACACAUAGCUUCUGGGGAAGAAAAAGCAAAGCAAAAAAACGAAGGGAAUUUGUCAGUACCAAAAACUACAUACACUCUUACCUUUUGAACUACAAGUCCCAUUUCUAGGAAUCUACUCUUUAGAAAUACCUCCAACAUAUGAAAAUACGUAUGCAUAAGGCUAUUUAUUGCUCACCACAAAGACUUGCAGUGGGGUGGGCAUGAGACAGGAAUAUUUUCACCUUGCAUUCAUCUACUGAACUGACCAAUCUAUAAAUCAAGCUUGGGCUCCUUCCUCUUUUUCCACCCAGUUGUACAGAACCCUCCAUAUGGCCACGGGUGUGAGCCUGAGGUAGGAAGCUGGGGUAACCACUGUGGGUGAUAUAGAGUUUGGGCAACUUGCUCAUUGAUUGUUAAUUGCGAGAUAUUAGAGACAGCCUAAAUGCCUGUGCAUGGGAAAGUGGUUGAAUAACAUCCACUGAGUGGAGUACUAUGCAGCUGUAAGAACAAGGAAGUGCUCUAUGACCUGUUACAGAGUGAAACUAGUAUAACUAGCAAAUAUCCCAUGUCUAGGGUGUAUUAAGUGAAAAAAGCAAAGCACAAAAAGGGCAUAAUAUUCUACCCUUCAACUAAAAAUGAGCAUUAUACAGCUUAGGCAACAUGGGGAGACCCGUCUCUGCAAAAAAAUUAAAAAGUUAGCCUGGCGUGGUGGCACAUCCCUGCGGUUCCAGCUACUUGGGGGGCCGAGACAGGAGGAAUGCUUGAGCUCAGGAGGUUGAGGCUGCAGUGAGCUGUGUUCAUGUGUCUACACUCCAGCCGGGCAACAGAGUGAGACCUUGUCUCAAAAACAAAAGUGCAUUAUGUAAGAAAAUAUACGUACAUCUGCUCGUUUGUGCCAAAGAGUAAAUUAGGAGCUGAAAUUGGUUACCUACAGGUGUUGGGUGAUAACAGAGGGGAAAUAAUGGUAUUGCUGAGAAUGGAGUCACAGGAAUCAGGGAGAGAUACUUUGCUAGCCAUGUUCAUACUUAGAACCAUGCUAAUUUUUACUCUUAGAGCCAUGUUAAUGCCUCACAAACUCCCAAAAAAAGUGGUUAAAACAAUGGGGAUGGGACAAAAUGGAAUGCGAAAAGUAAUACAUGAAUUUACUAUAAUUGUAUUACGAAUGAAUAACAUAACCACACUGAAGGGGUGGCACUAGCCAAAGUUACUUUGGAAAACAGUAUUUUGAUUGUAUAUUGUAAAGGAAAAGGCAAAAUGAACUAGACACAAAUAUUGUACUCUAGUUUCCUAUCUGUUUUUCACAGGGGUAUGCAAGAAUGAGACUCCUUCAUAUGCAUAUUAUGAUUCAGCAGAUCAGUAAAUUUAUGGAAGGUGAUGAGACUCAAAUGUUAUUAAGAAUAUCAUAAGGAAGAGAAACUGUAUUUCCAAUUCAUUUAGUGGAAGUGGAUCAUCGUAAAGGUCUUCAUCCUCAUGGUCUUUACGUUGAGUGGGCUGAGGAGGAAGAUAAGGGAGGAGUUGGUCUUGCUGUCUCAGGGGUGGCAGAGGUGGGAGAAAAUUCCCAUGUAAGUGGACCCACACAGUUCAAACCCACGUUUUUCAAUAAUUAACUGUAAUUCAAAACAAAAAUUAGAAAACCAUAAAUAUAUGUUGAGCAGCUUCCGUGUCUCAGGCCCUGUUGCAGAUGCUAGAGAUAUGCCAGCGAACAGCAUGAGGCAUGAGGCCCCUGCUCUCAUGGGGUUUACAUUAAGUCAUAGGUCGCAUGCUAAUCACUCACCAUUUGUAAUAAAGACAAUGAGAAUUUACCCUGUACAGAUUGAAUUAUUCUGACUGAAGGUUUACAUAAUUUAUGGUGACACUUGGCUUCUGUCUUAAUGAUGUCACAAAAGAAAAUGUAGAAUCAGGGACCAGACAUUGUUUACUACACUGCUGAACAGCUCUGGGAUUUAUAUACUCAUUUCCAAAAGUACACAGUUACUAAGUCUUCUUGGUGGGCACAAUCUAAUUUCAGCUUAAUGCAUUUUUUCUUAAAUUGAACCAUGCUGAUAAGGUUGAUGUAUGAUAAGCCACACCUGAUAAUUGCCCUUUACAUGAAAGUCUAGAAACUUCAAGAACGAUCCAUACACAUUUAAUUAAAUCUAUGACUUGUAUCUGAAUUGUGAUUUCAUUUCCAUUAUUUAGCUUUACAAUUCUUCAAAAUCCACAAUUCUAUUGAUCUUUGACCAGAUUACAAAUAGGAACAAUGAGAGUUGCCGUGGCCAUGGGCUCAGUUCGUUUGUCCCAUUUGUGUAUGAUCGCCUUCCCCUGCGGGGAACUGGGCAAGGGGCAAGCCUGGUGGUUCAGUCCUCUGAAGUCCUGAUGCUUGUUGGGCUUUUUCUUUUUGCCAGCAUGCUCUGGCACUGGCAAACAAGUCAUUUAGAGGGAGCUGAGGAGAGAUCAACAGAAUCUGAGAAAAGUAGGCAAUGUGUGAGUUUUCCAAGGGUUCAAGAAUUUUUAUCACAGCUAUAAGGUCAAGUACAAUGUUGUGAGCCACUAAGGUGGAUACAUUAAGUCUCCAGGGUUUUCUCAUUCCAAAAAAGAGCCUAGAUGCAAAGGAGUGGCUUCCGCAAUACAGUAAGGCAACCCUGGAGGAAGUCCGAAUGGGGACAACUGAGCCAUCCAUAGUAAUAACCAUGGCCUCCUUUCCUACUUACCUCUCUGGCCACUUUUCUUCCACCCAAGCUAACUCAUUCUACUUAAUGAGAUAUUUGAAAGUUGCAGUUUCCCAAGAAGGAGUAUGAGGUUCUGGUCAUUUCUCUGUCUGUAUUAGGUGACCUCCUACAUGCCCGUGACCAUUCAUGCUCAAGACUUGGAGGUUCAGUUUUCAGCACAGAGCUGCUGCUCCUGAGUUCCCACCAGAACACUCUAUUGCUUAUUUAACAUUUCCUCAUGAAUGUCUCAAAGGCAUCUUACAUCAAACUGGCUUAGUGAUCUUUCCUUCCCUGCACCCCAACAUCAGAAUCUGGUCCUCUGUCUCUGUGACUAGUACCAUCAUUCAUUCACCUGCACACACCAGAAGAAGGGGAGUGAUUCCUCACUCUCUUACUUUCUCUUACCACCCCUGUAUCUAAUCAAUAGCUGAUUGGUUAUUGAUUCUACCACCUAAAUAUCUCUCAAAUCUGUUCGUAUUUAUUUGCUCCAUCUCCACUGUGUCUACCUUAGCCCAAACUGUCAUUCUCUGCAAUACCAUCCUCUGUAAUAUCAUCCUCUGUCUUCUGAAUUAUAGCACUAAUCUAAACAGUUCUCCCCAUAUUCCCUCUUACUCCCUCUAAUCCAAUCACCACAUUGUAGUCAAGAGAACUUUUAAGAAUUGCUCAUAUGACUCUAUUGUUUAAACCCUUUGAUGGUUUCCUAUUUUCUUAUGAUAAAGACUCAAAUCCUUAAUAUGGCCUGAAACAAUCUGCAUAAUCUGGCUUUUCAGCCUCAUCUCCUGCUACUCACUACCCACUUUAUUCACCAUAACACAUCAGCCUUUCUUCUACAAUUUGCAAUGAGUCACGCUCAUGUCAGCCUGGCCUUUGCAUAUGCUGUUCUCCUUUCCUGGGUAUCCAGAUAUCCUUCAGGAGAUACUUCUUAUUACUCCCUGAAGGAGAUAAUCUCCAAACCCUCAACUCAGUUCCCACGGGUUACUCUCCCAGUACCCUAGACCUCUCGUUCCUAGUGUUUACCACAAUUCAAAUGAAAUAAUUGUAUAGUUAUUUCACUUUUGUCUCUCACUCUUGAAUGUAAGCCUAUAAGGGUAGGGACCAUGUCUAUCAGCUCAUGACUAAUCACCAGUACCUGCCACAGUGCUGGGCACACAGCAGUAAUUUAACAUUUAAUAUUAAUAAGGUAACAGUGCUGGAAUCAGGCACUAUUAUAAGCUCUUCAUGUGUAGGAACUCAUUGAAUCCUGGUAACAAACCCAGAAUGUAGGUAUUCUUCUUCUUCUCAUUUUACAGAUGUAAAACAGGCACAGAGAGGUGGAGUGAGCUGCAAAGAUCACACAGUGGAAAAUGGAACUUGAACCUAGCAGUCUAGAUUCAAAGCCUGUAUUUUACUUUACUGCCUCAAUAUUUAUGGAAAGCAUGCCUGUUUAAAUGUUCACUGAAGUCAAUAACUCAGAGAAUUGCUCAUAAACAAAUUCAUAAUUAUAGAGCACCUCUACUGUAAAGUUUAACAUGUUUAACUAUGGAGAAGUAGAGGGGUAUAAGUACUUUGAUACCAUCCGUACUGAAAACAAAAAAAAAAUCUUUGCAAAGUCCAUAAGAGAGAACUUGUCCAAAGGUGAAUACUAUUAGUGAUUCAAAUAGGUUGAAAUAAUAUUCAAAGCCUUUGUACUUCUUAGACUCAUGAAAAUUUGGUUGCUUGAUAUGCUGGAGUGUAUAUAUUUGCUAAUACUUUAAGGCCUUUCUGUGCUGCAUUAGCCAAUCUAAAAACAGCAAACAAAAUGAACAUAGGUCACAUGGUUCAUUAUUCCUAGCUUAAAUGUUAAACAAUAGAGAAGUCAAUGACAUUUUAAAUUGUUGCCUUGAUCACUGUGGGUUGUCAUUUUAUUGCGGCUUUGGGAAGAGCAAAAAUGCACAGAAUAGAACAUUGGGCAAUGUCCCCUGCCCAUAGCUGAGCUCUAUUACUAAGAUGAGAUGCUGUCAUCUGUGUUUUCAUUUCCACAUUUAACAACAAAAGCGGCACUUGCCAACUGUCAUGAAGUUGUUCUGAGUAGGGUGUGAUGAUGUUUGUAAAGUUUGUAGUGCUGGAAGAAAAGUACUAAUAAACACCAAAGCACAAACCACUUAAAUAGUGCACAAUUUGAUGUGAAGUAGAUGAUUCAAAAUGACUCAGUGAUUAUUAAUCUAAUGCUCUAAAAUAUGAAUAGGGGAUUAAUCCCAAGAUGUUUCACAUAUUCUUAGAAUAUUAGAAUUUUAAAUUCUUAUAUGUUUUAAGACUAUACCUACAUGAUUUUUGAAGCAAUAUUGAGAAGCGAAAAAACAGUUGAUUCCAAUGACAGAUGACUCAAAUGGGCAGAGAUUUCUUAAUAAUAUAGACUGGGAAACUAGAAUACAUCCAAUUCAGGCUUCCCAUUAAAUCUAUAGUGAAUGGGCGAUCAUUCAUCCUCCCAUAGGGGAGUUACUGGGAAUUUCCUCUGCAUGCUAUUCUGCUAGUUGACUAUUUGCACAUGGGGGCUUCCCAAAUGGUUUCCGGUAAGAGAAGUGUGCUUCCCGCUAUGGAGGGACUGGAUCAGCCUAGGCUAGCUGGCCCAUGGAAGAGAGUUCUUAGGCCGGCAAAAAACUGGAGUUUGUGAGGGCCUUUAGGGUUGUCAAUUCACAACUAAACCUAUGUGGGACACUAUCCUUCGGACUGAUUGUCACUUUUAGCUUUUUUUUUUUCUUAAACAAAAACAAAACUUGAACCCCCAUUUUAAUAAACAAUUUUUUUUGUAUUCUACCUUAAUGAUAAUUGACUUCUCAAAAUAAAUUUUGUGAAUAGGAAGAAAUCACAGUAAAGGUAAAUUUAGAAUAUGCUUCAAACUACUUAAGCACUCUAUCCUCCUGCAUCCGGAGUUGAUUCCUUCCAGUGGGUUCCUGGUCUUGCUGACUUCAAAAAUGAAGCCCCGGACCUUCACGGUGAAUGUUACAGCUCUUAAAGAUGGCACAAACCCAGGCCAGGCGUGGUGGCUCAUGCCUGUAAUCCCAACACUUUGGGAGGCCAAGGCGGGUGGAUCACUAGGUCAGUCCUGUAAUCCCAGCACUUUGGGAGGCCAAGGCGGGUGAAUCAUGAGGUCAGGAGAUCGAGACCAUCCUGGUUAACACGGUGAAACCCCACCUCUACU